CAGGGAAAGAACAGAGCACGCAGCAUAUAGGGCUCUGAUGUAAAAAAAAAAACAAAAAACUGCUCUAACCAUCUGCAAUGCACGAUUUUAGAGAAAAAGGCAGAGCAGGUGGCCCGUGGAGAAGGAUUGAAUGUUCACCAGGAGAUGAAGAUCACCAAGGAAGCAUAAAAAUACUGUAUCAACAUGAUCUUGGAUGCCUCUGUUUAUCUAGGCAGAAAGAAGAGAGAUUGUCCACUGACGGAUUGCUCUUACGUCACAGAUGCCCAGCUUCCACUAUUAAUCUUCAGAAGAACAGGUGCAUGACAUGGUUGGAAGGGGGUAGGAAACGACCUUCCUGGUUUGCCUUGAGUCAACAUUACUCAGAAGUGAACAGAGAUGAGCCAGGACACUCAGCAGAUGCAACUGAACUCCUUGAAGCUUUCAGGCCCCCAAGCCAGCUUGAAGAGCUGUUCCCUGAAGCUACAUGGACGGAGCAAAG
ensembl:lncRNA